GUCUGCAGUGGCUGCGUUCCAAAGUCUAAGCUGCAUCCAUAGAAAGCUGUUCCAGACUGAAGGAUCCUUCCUGUACAGCCAAGAAAGACUGCUGAGAUGGAUUACUUCAAUGUGCUGUCCUCCUGCGCUACCUUACCUACAGCCUACACUUUGGAACUCAGCUGGCAGGAGAGAGCAUGUGAAAGCUGAAGAGUGUGUGCGGGCGUCGAAAAAGCACAGCAUGACGGGGCCUGCUGUAUGAAGAGAG